AUGUUCUCAAAUAUCUUAAGAGGAAUGGUCACAAACAUCUGGAAAAUGAACGUCUUAGUUGCUCAGUCAUGUCCAACUCUUUGUGACCAUUAUGGACUGUGGCCUAGGAAACUCCUCUGUCCGUGGAAUUCUCCAGGCAGGAAUACUGGAGUGGAUGGCCAUUCCCUUCUCCAGGGAGUCUUCCUGACCUCAGGGUUGAACCAUGUUUCCCACAAUGCAGACAGAUUCUUUCCAUCUGAGCCAGCAGGGAAGCCCGCAAACAUCCUGAAUGAAAGGGACCUGGGAGCUUCACGGGAUUAG
rnacentral:lncRNA from 1 species